AUUGAACGCUGGCGGCAGGCCUAACACAUGCAAGUCGAGCGAGCGGCGGACGGGUGAGUAAUGUAUGGGGACCUGCCUGAUGGAGGGGGAUAACUACUGGAAACGGUGGCUAAUACCGCAUACCAUCGGAUGUGCCCAUAUGGGAUUAGCUAGUAGGUGGGGUAAAGGCUCACCUAGGCGACGAUCCCUAGCUGGUCUGAGAGGAUGACCAGCCACACUGGGACUGAGACACGGCCCAGACUCCGACGUGAGGCAGCAGGGGGGAAUAUUGCACAAUGGGCGCAAGCCUGAUGCAGCCAUGCCGCGUGUAUGAAGAAGGCCUUCGGGUUGUAAAGUACUGUCAGCGGGGAGGCGUUACCCGCAGAAGAAGCACCGGCUAACUCCGUGCCAGCAGCCGCGGUAAUAC
rnacentral:rRNA from 1 species